rnacentral:rRNA from 1 species
GACAGAGGGGGCAAGCGUUGCUCGGAAUCACUGGGCGUAAAGGGCGCAUAGGCGGGAUGGCAAGUCGGUCGUGAAAUCCUUCGGCCCAACCGAAGAACGUCGGCCGAUACUGCCGUUCUUGAGGGAUGCAGAGGAGACUGGAAUUCCCGGUGUAGCGGUGAAAUGUGUAGAGAUCGGGAGGAACACCGGUGGCGAAGGCGGGUCUCUGGGCAUUUCCUGACGCUGAGGCGCGAAAGCGUGGGGAGCAAACGGG